CUCAGCUGGCUUUUGUCCAUAUGCUCAGAGACUUGGAGAAGAAUGAAACGAGAGUAAACAAGCUUGAGGACCGUUCAUCCACCGCUGACACACCGCCCCAGCUUGGGCUCAAAUCUGGCACACAGAAAGCCAACCGCAAAGGGGAAGUUGACAAAGAGAAGGGGAAACCAGCUGCCAACUCAAAGCCUGGCUCCAGGCAGGAAGCGAGCCUUGACCUGACUAAGGCCAACUGGACUCUGCGUGUGGUCACUGACAAGAGCAAAGCAGAGAGCAUUGAGGUGGCGAAGGACACAGACAGAAUGGACCAGAUUAAAGCCAUUAAAAAAGCGUGGGAAAUGGCUGAACCAGG
rnacentral:lncRNA from 1 species